GAUAGGUAAUGCGUCAUUGGAUUUUAUUGCUUUAAAUAGGCUUUCGGCAAAUGGAACGGGUGAUGAAAUCGUGUCAAAUAGUUAUUUGAAAAGACUUUUAGUUUUGGUAUUGGAAAGACUAAAACACACAAACACACAUACAAUGUUGUACUUAAAGUUAUAUACGGCUAGGAAAUGGCAAGUGGAGAAUAGAAGUGGAAGGAAUUUAGGAAAUGUUUUAGGGUGAUUCAGAAAUUAUAUACGUGUUGCACAUUUUCUUGUAAAUAAAAAAUCGCCGAACAUA